UUGGAGGGCAAGUCUGGUGCCAGCAGCCGCGGUAAWUCCAGCUCCAAUAGYGUAUAUUAAAGUUGCUGCAGUUAAAAAGCUCGUAGUUGAAUUUCGAGAUCAGUACGCUGGUCGUGCCUUCGGUAUGCACUGGUGUCACUGGUUUCUCCCUUCUGAAGAACCGUCAUGUCAUUAAGUUGGUGUGGCGGGGAAUCAGGACUGUUACUUUGAAAAAAUUAGAGUGUUUAAAGCAGGCUCGCGCUUGAAUACAUUAGCAUGGAAUAAUGAAAUAGGACGUUUGACCCUAUUUUGUUGGUUUCUAGGAUCGACGUAAUGAUUAAUAGGGAUAGUUGGGGGCAUUAGUAUCCAAUUGUCAGAGGUGAAAUUCUUGGAUUUAUUGAAGACUAACUACUGCGAAAGWAUUUGCCAAGGAUGUUUUCAUUAAUCAAGAACGAAAGUUAGGGGAUCGAAGACGAUCAGAUACCGUCGUAGUCUUAACCAUAAACUAUGCCGWCUAGGGAUCGGAUGAUGUUAAUUUUUUAAUGACUCAURCGGCGCCUUACGGGAAAC
rnacentral:rRNA from 1 species